rnacentral:rRNA from 1 species
CAGCAGCCGCGGGAAUACGGAGGGUGCAAGCGUUAAUCGGAAUUACUGGGCGUAAAGCGCACGCAGGCGGUCUGACAAGUCAGAUGUGAAAUCCCCGGGCUUAACCUGGGAACUGCAUUUGAAACUGUCAGGCUGGAGUCUUGUAGAGGGGGGUGGAAUUCCAGGUGUAGCGGUGAAAUGCGUAGAGAUCUGGAGGAAUACCGGUGGCGAAGGCGGCCCCCUGGACAAAGACUGACGCUCAGGUGCGAAAGCGUGGGGAGCAAACAGGAUUAGAUACCCCAGUAGUCCCUGUCUCCUUAUA